UGGGUGAGUAUCAGAUGUGUCUGUCGGCAUCUUAGAUGCUGCCAUCAGAGAGGCUCUAUGGAACAAGUUUAAAGGUCUGGACUCUGUUUCACUCACCUCCACUGCUUAUGUAAAGGGGACAAAGUAUUCUAAAGGAAUGGUGCUCUCAGUUGGACAGACAUGUGGACUGCCAGAUUUUGGGAGAGUAUUGGAGAUAUGUGUAGUGGAUGGCUGCAUAUCAUUCAUUUUGGAACUAUUCGCAGUGACCUUCCUGGAGCAUCUAAGGUGUUACCAGCUCACCAGAAGAGACCCUGCAGCAACUGUGGUUGUUGACCCUGACGAUCUGAAUGACUACACCCCACUUGCUGCAUACCCUGUUGAAGGAAAGCUGCUCAUCACUCCAAGGAUGUUCAUGUUACAUUAAGUUACUGCUGCCUCAUCAAUGAUGCUUCUCCAAGUCAUUGUCUCACCUCAGGAAAUAAGAUGUUCCCUCAUCAGUUGAUGAGAUAUGUACAGUACUGCGUAACACUCUGGGACUCCGAGGGAGCUUUCUUUUAUAGUUUGAAGAUCCAGACUUUGGGAAUGAGCUCUGCAGUUUGACUGAUAUCAAGGAUCUACCAACUGAACGAACAACACUGAAAGUCCUCUUCAUGUUAUCUGAACCACAUUCUGACUCAACAUUAGAUACUGCAAGCCCCGGUCCCCCAAGUAGUGCAGAUCCAACAGAAGGGUCUGAACCAUUUAUUAUUCCACAUUUCUCUCAUGAUGUUGAGUAUCAGCUGAGGGUAGCAAAUGAUGCCUGUGCCAAUGAUGGAGCUGCGAUGGUUGUCUCAAAGAGUGUAAUACUGGACAGACUGGCUGAUUGCAUCGCCAAAAUCACUCCCUAUCCUACUAGAGACAACAUAGAAAGCGCUGGUGGUCAAGCACCCUUGCGUGAGGGAGCCAGGUUCUGGUCAAGGAUGGUAUUUCUGGAAGUUCAGCUUGUAUUCAAGAUGAGCAAUUAUCAGAGGAUGAUGGCAGCUGGAUGCCCAGAAGUUCUGGUAAAUAAAAGAAAAAGAGGAAAAAGAAAUGGCAAGCCACUCAAGAAGUCAAAAAAGGGAGAGAUCCACUAUUUGCCACAGCCACCUGAGGGACAAAUUGCAGUCAAAGCAGUCAAAGCUCUAAAAGUGCAGAAGAAAGAUCCAGAUUUACAGGUCCUGGAUGAAUUGAUGACUGCAACAUUUGCACAGCAGAGACAAGAAAUAAUCAGUGAUGAACCUCUCAUCUUUGUUGUCAAGGACAGAUGGCCUGCAUUGUUUAGUGAGCGACAGCUAAUUGCAGAGUUCUGGAGAAUUGUCACCAAAGACCUGCUGGAAUCCUUUUUGGGUGGACGUGAUGCCUUCAUGCUCAGUCUUCUACAACUUUACAAAACAGCUGCUGCA